rnacentral:rRNA from 1 species
CUCCCUUUUUGCGACCCCGCAGAUUCGGGUAGAGUGAAAUCUUGGAAAGGUAGCCAGACAAACUAAAGCGAAAGCAUUCGUCAAGCAUGUUUUCAUUGGCCAUGAGCGAAAGUCAGAGGCUCGAAGACGAUCAGAUACCGUCCUAGUUCUGACCAUAAACGAUGCCAACUGACGAUCCGUGGUGGUAGCACAUCAACCUUCCCCACGGGCAGUCCCCGGGAAACCAUUAAGUCUUUGGGUUCCGGGGGAAGUAUGGUUGCAAAGCUGAAACUUAAAGGAAUUGACGGAAGGGCACCACCAGGAGUGGAGCCUGCGGCUUAAUUUGACUCAACACGGGAAAACUCACCCGGCCCGGACACUGUGAGGAUUGACAGAUUGAUAGCUCUUUCUUGAUUCAGUGGUUGGUGGUGCAUGGCCGUUCUUAGUUGGUGGAGCGAUUUGUCUGGUUAAUUCCGAUAACGAACGAGACUCCAGCCUGCUAAUUAGUGUAUCCGUCCACUGUUCCUGUGUGUGCGGCGUCCGACAAGGCUGCUUCCGUUCGCCCGAGUCGUGGUCUACGGGCCGUGACGAGGGCUGGUUGUGGCUGGCUCGGCGUUAGCAUCCGGGUACGGCGCGGUUACCUACUUCUUAGAGGGACAAACGGAAAAAAAGACGUACGAAAUUGAGCAAUAACAGGUCUGUGAUGCCCUUAGAUGUCCGGGGCCGCACGCGCGCUACAAUGACGGUGCCAACGAGUCUGACCUUCUGGCCCGAAAGGGUUGGGCAAACUGGUCAAUCACCGUCAUGACAGGGAUCGGGGCUUGGAAUUGUUCCCCGUGAACGAGGAAUUCCUAGUAAGUGCAAGUCAUAAGCUUGCGCUGAUUACGUCCCUGCCCUUUGUACACACCGCCCGUCGCUACUACCGAUUGAAUGGUUUAGUAAGGUCCUUGGAUCGGCGCCAUUGUGGCGGCUGCCGAAAGGUAGUCGUCCGACGUGUGCUGAGAAGACGACCAAACUUGAUCAUUUAGAGGAAGUAAAAUCGUACAAGACGUCCUAAUAACAAACACAAAAUAUAUAUAAUAGAUU